rnacentral:rRNA from 1 species
UACGAAGGGGGCUAGCGUUGCUCGGAAUCACUGGGCGUAAAGGGUGCGUAGGCGGGUCUUUUAAGUCAGGGGUGAAAUCCUGGAGCUCAACUCCAGAACUGCCUUUGAUACUGAAGAUCUUGAGUUCGGGAGAGGUGAGUGGAACUGCGAGUGUAGAGGUGAAAUUCGUAGAUAUUCGCAAGAACACCAGUGGCGAAGGCGGCUCACUGGUCCAUUCUGACGCUGAGGUGCGAAAGCGUGGGGAGCAAACAGGG